GGCCCACCUCCCUUCGACUUUGAUCCAAGUAGCUGUAGCAGCGGCAGCUAGAAGCAGCAGCUGGGGCCCCUGGUGAGGUGAUCGUGCCAUUGCCGUGUCCGUGGGUCCACAGCCAGGUGCUCAGACCACAAGCCAGAGAGAAAGGUUGGGUUUGCCAGGGACCAGGGCAGGGGGGCAGCUGCCCAGGAGCUUUCAGUACCGCUGCGUAAAGCUGGUCUCAGCUCGGACCCUGAGUCUGGUUCGAUCAAGUCCUGGACCUUCUGGGAUUCCCAAGGGGCCCCAGCUCAAUGGGGCUGCCUCUGCCGCUGCUUCAAUCCUCUCUUCUGCUAAUGCUUCUUUUGCGGCUGUCGGCGGCGUCCACCAACCUGAACUGGCAGUGCCCACGAAUACCCUACGCAGCCUCCCGAGACUUCAGUGUCAAGUACGUGGUCCCCAGCUUCUCCGCGGGGGGCCGGGUACAGGCCACCGCAGCCUACGAGGACAGUACAAAUAGUGCGGUGUUUGUGGCCACACGCAAUCACCUGCACGUGCUUGGGCCUGACCUGCAGUUCAUAGAGAACCUGACCACUGGCCCUAUCGGGAACCCUGGCUGCCAGACUUGUGCGAGCUGUGGUCCAGGCCCUCAUGGACCACCAAAGGACACAGACACACUGGUGCUAGUGAUGGAGCCAGGUUUGCCAGCCCUGGUCAGCUGUGGCUCAACCCUACAGGGCCGCUGCUUCCUGCAUGAGCUGGAGCCUCGGGGGAAAGCCCUGCACUUAGCAGCUCCAGCCUGCCUAUUCUCAGCAAACAAUAACAAGCCUGAGGCCUGCACGGACUGUGUGGCUAGCCCCCUGGGCACUCGUGUGACUGUGGUGGAGCAGGGGCAUGCUUCCUACUUCUAUGUGGCAUCUUCGCUAGACCCAGAGUUGGCCGCUAGCUUUAGCCCCCGCUCGGUGUCCAUCCGUCGUCUAAAGUCUGAUACUUCUGGAUUCCAACCAGGUUUUCCGUCGCUGUCGGUGCUGCCCAAAUAUUUGGCCUCCUACCUCAUCAAAUAUGUGUACAGCUUCCACUCGGGGGAUUUUGUCUACUUUCUGACUGUCCAGCCCAUCAGUGUCACAAGCCCUCCCAGUGCCUUGCAUACACGUCUGGUCCGGCUCAAUGCUGUAGAGCCAGAGAUUGGUGACUACCGGGAGCUGGUCUUGGACUGUCAUUUUGCACCUAAACGCCGGCGCCGUGGAGCCCCGGAGGGCACACAGCCCUACCCAGUGCUUCAGGCAGCCCACUCUGCUCCAGUGGAUGCCAAACUGGCUGUGGAACUGAGCAUUUCAGAGGGCCAGGAAGUGCUUUUUGGGGUCUUUGUGACCGUCAAGGAUGGUGGCUCUGGCAUGGGUCCCAACUCUGUUGUAUGUGCCUUCCCCAUUUACCACCUGAACAUCCUGAUUGAAGAGGGUGUCGAAUAUUGCUGUCACUCUUCAAAUUCUUCUUCCCUGUUGUCGAGAGGCCUUGACUUCUUCCAGACGCCCAGUUUUUGUCCUAAUCCGCCUGGUGGAGAGGCCUCCGGCCCCAGCUCCCGUUGCCACUACUUCCCUUUGAUGGUCCACGCUAGCUUCACCCGUGUGGACCUCUUCAAUGGACUGUUAGGAUCAGUGAAGGUCACCGCACUGCAUGUGACACGUCUUGGCAAUGUUACAGUGGCCCACAUGGGCACUGUGGAUGGGCGUGUCCUACAGGUGGAGAUAGCCAGGUCACUCAACUACCUGCUGUAUGUGUCCAACUUCUCCCUGGGCAGCAGUGGACAGCCUGUUCAUCGGGAUGUCAGCCGCCUCGGGAAUGACCUACUCUUUGCCUCUGGGGACCAGGUCUUCAAGGUGCCCAUCCAGGGCCCUGGCUGUCGUCAUUUUCUCACCUGUUGGCGUUGCCUGAGAGCACAGCGCUUCAUGGGAUGUGGCUGGUGUGGGGACCGGUGUGACCGGCAGAAGGAGUGUCCUGGCUCCUGGCAACAGGACCACUGUCCGCCUGAGAUCAGUGAGUUCUAUCCUCACAGCGGGCCUCUAAGGGGCACUACGAGGCUCACCCUUUGUGGCUCCAACUUCUACCUGCGACCUGAUGAUGUCGUACCUGAGGGAACACACCAGAUCACCGUGGGCCAAAGUCCCUGCCGACUGCUGCCUAAGGACUCUUCAAGCCCUAGGCCAGGGUCCCUCAAGGAAUUCAUACAGGAACUUGAAUGUGAGCUGGAGCCCCUGGUCACCCAGGCAGUGGGGACUACAAACAUCAGCCUUGUCAUCACCAACAUGCCAGCAGGCAAGCACUUCCGAGUGGAAGGCAUCUCUGUACAGGAAGGCUUCUCUUUCGUGGAGCCAGUGCUGACAUCAAUAAAACCUGACUUUGGCCCGCGGGCUGGGGGUACUUAUCUCACCCUUGAAGGCCAGAGCCUGUCUGUCGGCACCAGCCGGGCUGUGCUGGUCAAUGGAACCCAGUGCCGGCUGGAACAGGUCAAUGAGGAGCAGAUCUUAUGUGUCACGCCUCCUGGAGCUGGCACGGCCAGGGUCCCCCUUCAUCUGCAGAUAGGGGGUGCUGAGGUGCCUGGCUCCUGGACCUUUCACUACAAGGAAGACCCUAUUGUGUUGGACAUCAGUCCCAAGUGUGGCUACAGUGGCUCCCACAUCAUGAUCCAUGGCCAGCAUCUGACUUCAGCAUGGCACUUCACGCUAUCAUUCCAUGAUGGACAAAGUACAGUGGAGAGCAGGCAGUGUGCGGGGCAGUUUGUGGAACAACAGCAGCGUCGAUGUCGCCUGCCUGAAUAUGUGGUCCGAAACCCUCAGGGGUGGGCAACAGGGAAUCUGAGCGUCUGGGGUGAUGGAGCAGCUGGCUUCACGCUGCCUGGUUUUCGCUUCCUGCCCCCACCCAGUCCACUCAGAGCUGGCCUGGUUGAGUUGAAACCUGAAGAACAUUCAGUUAAAGUUGAGUAUGUCGGGCUGGGCGCUGUGGCAGACUGUGUGACUGUGAACAUGACCGUGGGUGGUGAGGUCUGCCAACAUGAGCUCCGGGGGGAUGUGGUGAUCUGCCCCCUGCCCCCUUCCCUGCAACUUGGCAAGGAUGGUGUCCCAUUGCAGGUCUGUGUAGACGGUGGGUGUCACAUCCUGAGCCAAGUGGUUCGCUCAAGCCCAGGCAGGGCCUCACAGAGGAUACUCCUUAUUGCUCUUCUGGUCUUGAUCCUGCUUGUGGCUGUGCUGGCCGUUGCCCUGAUCUUUAACUCCCGAAGACGGAAAAAGCAGCUAGGUGCUCACUCCCUCUCCCCAACAACACUCUCUGACAUCAACGAUACAGCUUCCGGGGCUCCGAACCAUGAAGAAUCGUCAGAGAGUAGGGAUGGGACAAGUGUCCCACUGCUGCGGACAGAGUCUAUCCGGCUCCAGGAUCUGGACAGGAUGCUCCUAGCUGAGCUGGAGCAGUCCCCACUUCGACCCGCACACUAACUUGUGUGACCUUGAGGCUGCCAAACUUCUGAGAUGUGGUCAUCUUUGGAACGAGGUUUUGGAGAAUUUGCUCUUCGGUGGCUUCUGGUGUGGCUGUGUGGACGCGGGAGGACUGUAAACGACCCUACCAUUGGGCUGCCGCUUGCUUUUAAGGUCACAUUGGCCAAUUUGGGGGUUCUGAGGUUGCUAGUUAUAAAGGGCACACUGUGAGUCUGGGCACAGAGUCCUUCUUUACCCUCUUGCUCUUUCUAGGCCACUUUGGUGUUGUCUACCACGGAGAAUAUACAGACGGAGCACAGAAUCAGACCCACUGUGCCAUCAAGUCUCUGAGUCGCAUUACAGAGGUGCAGGAGGUGGAGGCUUUCCUGCGGGAGGGGCUGCUCAUGCGUGGCCUACAUCACCCAAACAUCCUGGCUCUCAUCGGUAUCAUGCUGCCCCCGGAGGGGCUUCCCCGGGUGCUGUUGCCCUAUAUGCGCCACGGAGACCUGCUUCAUUUCAUUCGCUCCCCUCAGAGGAACCCCACUGUGAAGGAUCUUGUCAGCUUUGGCCUGCAGGUAGCCUGUGGUAUGGAGUACCUGGCAGAGCAGAAGUUCGUGCACAGAGACCUGGCUGCUAGGAACUGCAUGCUGGACGAGUCAUUCACAGUCAAGGUGGCUGACUUUGGUCUGGCACGGGGCGUCCUAGACAAGGAAUACUACAGUGUUCGCCAGCAUCGCCAUGCUCGCCUGCCAGUCAAAUGGAUGGCACUGGAGAGCCUGCAGACCUACAGGUUCACCACCAAGUCCGAUGUGUGGUCAUUCGGGGUGCUGCUCUGGGAGCUACUAACACGGGGUGCUCCACCCUACCCCCAUAUCGAUCCCUUCGACCUCUCUCACUUCCUGGCUCAGGGCCGUCGCCUGCCUCAGCCUGAGUACUGUCCUGAUUCACUGUAUCACGUGAUGCUUCGAUGCUGGGAGGCUGACCCAGCGGCACGACCCACCUUCAGAGCCCUAGUGCUGGAAGUAAAGCAGGUAGUGGCCUCACUGCUUGGGGACCACUAUGUGCAGCUGACAGCAGCUUAUGUGAACGUAGGCCCCAGAGCGGUGGAUGAUGGGAGUGUGCCUCCGGAGCAGGUACAGCCCUCGCCUCAGCAUUGCAGGAGCACGUCAAAGCCCCGGCCUCUCUCAGAGCCACCCCUGCCCACUUGACCAAAGCCCUGAGUAGGCCACAGGCACUAGAUCUGCUAAGUGGCCUUGAGCAAAUUACAAGCUGCCUCUGGGCCUAGGACAAGCCUCAGCAUGGAAAACCUCCACUCUUUAGCUUUCUGGGGCCACUGAAGGUGGGAAACCGGGCCCAUUUGAGCCCCUCGUUCCAGCAUGAGCCAGUGACAUUUUUGUAGCAUGUAUUUAUGUAAUGUCUGUUUUGUACCUGUUUCGGAAUACAGAGGAUCCAGCAGUGAUCACAGAGAUACUACAGUGUAAAAUAAUAUAAAUAAAUAAAUGAAUGAAUAUUCGAGCACAA